GAUGAACGCUGGCGGCGUGCCUAAUACAUGCAAGUCGAGCGAACGGACGAGAAUCUUGCUUCUCUGAUGUUAGCGGCGGACGGGUGAGUAACACGUGGAUAACCUACCUAUAAGACUGGGAUAACUUCGGGAAACCGGAGCUAAUACCGGAUGAUAUUUUGAACCGCAUGGUUCAAAAGUGAAAGACGGUCUUGCUGUCACUUAUAGAUGUAUCCGCGCUGCAUUAGCUAGUUGGUAAGGUAACGGCUUACCAAGGCAACGAUGCAUAGCCGACCUGAGAGGGUGUUCGGCCACACUGGAACUGAGACACGGUCCAGACUCCUACGGGAGGCAGCAGUAGGGAAUCUUCCGCAAUGGGCGAAAGCCUGACGGAGCAACGCCGCGUGAGUGAUGAAGGUCUUCGGAUCGUAAAACUCUGUUAUUAGGGAAGAACAUAUGUGUAAGUAACUGUGCACAUCUUGACGGUACCUAAUCAGAAAGCCACGGCUAACUACGUG
rnacentral:rRNA from 1 species